rnacentral:rRNA from 1 species
GACGAACGCUGGCGGCGUGCUUAACACAUGCAAGUCGAACGGAAAGGCCCUGCUUUUGUGGGGUGCUCGAGUGGCGAACGGGUGAGUAACACGUGAGUAACCUGCCCUUGACUUUGGGAUAACUUCAGGAAACUGGGGCUAAUACCGGAUAGGAGCUCCUGCUGCAUGGUGGGGGUUGGAAAGUUUCGGCGGUUGGGGAUGGACUCGCGGCUUAUCAGCUUGUUGGUGGGGUAGUGGCUUACCAAGGCUUUGACGGGUAGCCGGCCUGAGAGGGUGACCGGCCACAAUGGGACUGAGAUACGGCCCAGACUCCUACGGGAGGCAGCAGUGGGGAAUAUUGCACAAUGGGCGGAAGCCUGAUGCAGCCACGCCGCGUGCGGGAUGACGGCCUUCGGGUUGUAAACCGCUUUCGCCUGUGACGAAGCGUGAGUGACGGUAAUGGGUAAAGAAGCACCGGCUAACUACGUG